rnacentral:piRNA from 1 species
UGCAAGACCACUUUGUAGUCCCUACCAGCU